ACCGUACUCCUACGGGAGGCAGCAGUGGGGAAUUUUGGACAAUGGGGGCAACCCUGAUCCAGCAAUGCCGCGUGAGUGAAGAAGGCCUUCGGGUUGUAAAGCUCUUUUGUCAGGGAAGAAACGGUAGUAGCUAAUAUCUAUUACUAAUGACGGUACCUGAAGAAUAAGCACCGGCUAACUACGUACCAGCAGCCGCGGUAAUACGUAGGGUGCAAGCGUUAAUCGGAAUUACUGGGCGUAAGGCGUGCGCAGGCGGUUGUGUAAGUCAGAUGUGAAAUCCCCGGGCUCAACCUGGGAAUUGCAUUUGAGACUGCACGGCUAGAGUGUGUCAGAGGGGGGUAGAAUUCCACGUGUAGCAGUGAAAUGCGUAGAUAUGUGGAGGAAUACCGAUGGCGAAGGCAGCCCCCUGGGAUAACACUGACGCUCAUGCACGAAAGCAUGGGGAGCGAACAGGAUUAGAAACCCCUGUAGUCCUUGAC
rnacentral:rRNA from 1 species